GUCAGUGUAAUGCUGUGCUGUGUGGAUAGAGAUAAUUUAGGUCAGUGUAAUGCUGUGCUGUGUGGAUAGAGAGAAUUUAGGUCAGUGUAAUACUGUGCUGUGUGGAUAGAGAUAAUUUAGGUCAGUGUAAUGCUGUACUGUGUGGAUAGAGAUAAUUUAGGUCAGUGUAAUGCUGUGCUGUGUGGAUAGAGAUAAUUUAGGUCAGUGUAAUGCUGUACUGUGUGGAUAGAGAUAAUUUAGGUCUGUGUAAUGCUGUGCUGUGUGGAUAGAGAUAAUUUAGGUCAGUGUAAUGCUGUACUGUGUGGAUAGAGAUAAUUUAGGUCAGUGUAAUGCUGUGCUGUGUGGAUAGAGAUAAUUUAGGUCAGUGUAACGCUGUGCUGUGUGGAUAGAGAUAAUUUAGGUCAGUGUAAUGCUGUGCUGUGUGGAUAGAGAUAAUUUAGGUCAGUGUAAUGCUGUGCUGUGUGGAUAGAGAUAAUAACCCAUAUAGCCAGCGACUGAAGUGUUUGGACUUCAGCAUGCCUGUUUGGCCCUGUCUAGAGGGUAUCAUCGGAUGGGGCCACAGUGUCUCCUGACCCCGCAUGUCUCAGCCUCCAGUAUUUAUACUGCAGUAGUUUAUGUGUCGGGGGGCUAGGGUCAGUCUGUUAUAUCUGGAGUAUUUCUCCUGUCUUAUCUGGUGUCCUGUGUGAAUUUAAGUAUGCUCUCUCUAAUUGUCUCUUUCUUUCUCUCUCUCGGAGGACCUGAGCCCUAGGACCAUGCCUCAGGACUACCUGGCCUAAUGACUCCUUGCUGUCCCCAGUCCACCUGGCCCUGCUGCUGCUCCAGUUUCAACUGUUCUGCCUGCGGCUAUGGAACCCUGACCUGUUCACCGGACGUGCUACCUGUCCCAGACCUGCUGUUUUCAACUCUCUAGAGACAGCAGGAGCGGUAGAGAUACUCUCAAUGAUUGGCUAUGAAAAGCCAACUGACAUUUACUCCUGAGGUGCUGACCUGUUGCACCCUCUACAACCACUGUGAUUAUUAUUAUUUGACCAUGCUGGUCAUUUAUGAACAUUUGAACAUCUUGUCCAUGUUCUGUUAUAAUCUCCACCCGGCACAGCCAGAAGAGGACUGGCCACCCCACAUAGCCUGGUUCCUCUCUAGGUUUCUUCCUAGGUUUUGGCCUUUCUAGGGAGUUUUUUCUAGCCACCGUGCUUCUACACCUGCAUUGCUUGCUGUUUGGGGUUUUAGGCUGGGUUUCUGUACAGCACUUUGAGAUAUCAGCUGAUGUAAGAAGGGCUUUAUAAAUACAUUUGAUUUGAUAUUAUUGCCUAGAUAACUGCCAGGCUUCUACACUGCCUUACCAACACACCACCAAGACUCAACUGCCAGGCUUCUACACUGCCUUACCAACACACCACCAAGACUCAGCUGCCAGGCUGCUAAACUGCCUUACCAACACACCACCAAGACUCAACUGCCAGGCUUCUACACUGCCUUACCAACACACCACCAAGACUCAGCUGCCAGGCUUCUACACUGCCUUACCAACACACCACCAAGACUCAGCUGCCAGGCUGCUACACUGCCUUACCAACACACCACCAAGACUCAGCUUUUAAUUUAGAGAGGAGCUAAGAGGAGCUAAGAGAUUAGAUGAGAUAGUAGAGAUACUGUCAAUAACCUUAGAUGUGAUUUGUCUUAGAGACACAGGGUCUGGAACUCAAGUGAAUCCACCAAAGCAAUAUGUUUAUGUACUGAUUCUAAUAUGUCUGACAUAUUUGUUAGUUUAAGGAUGAAAUGGUUUUACAUUGUCUUUACCACAUUUCUUACCACUUCUUUGUUUGGAGGGCAUUGUUGGCUUUUCCAGACAGUUAGCUUUAACCACAGAUUUCAACAACGAGAGCUCUCAAAUAUUACAAAUCAUAAAGUUGAUGGAACUUCUAG